CAAUAGCGUAUAUUAAAGUUGUUGCAGUUAAAAAGCUCGUAGUUGGAUUUCUGAUUGAGACAUCAGGUCGGGUCCGAGAGGAUAAUGUACUUUGAUUUGUUUUGAUCAUCCUUGGGGAGAGCAGUUCUGGCAUUAAGUUGUCGGGGUUGGGAUCCUCAUCGUUUACUGUGAAAAAAUUAGAGUGUUCAAAGCAGGCCUCGGCCUCUGAAUACAUUAGCAUGGAAUAAUAAGAUAGGACUUUGGUGGUCUAUUUUGUUGGUUUGCACGCCAAAGUAAUGAUUAAUAGGGAUAGUUGGGGGUAUUCGUAUUCAAUUGUCAGAGGUGAAAUUCUUGGAUUUAUGGAAGACGAACUACUGCGAAAGCAUUUACCAAGGAUGUUUUCAUUAA
rnacentral:rRNA from 1 species